rnacentral:tRNA from 1 species
GAGAGGAGUGAAUAUGGUUAUUCAUAUAAAUUGCAAAUUUAUAAAAUUAAAGGGUUCGAUUCCCUCUUCUCUCU